rnacentral:rRNA from 1 species
GUAAGGAAUAUUGGACAAUGGACGCAAGUCUGAUCCAGCCAUGCCGCGUGAAGGAUUAAGGUCCUCUGGAUUGUAAACUUCUUUUAUAAGGGACGAAAAAAGGCUUUUCUAAGUCGUCUGACGGUACCUUAUGAGUAAGCACCGGCUAACUCCGUGCCAGCAGCCGCGGUAAUACGGAGGGUGCAAGCGUUAUCCGGAUUCACUGGGUUUAAAGGGUGCGUAGGCGGGCAGGUAAGUCAGUGGUGAAAUCCUAGAGCUUAACUCUAGAACUGCAAUUGAUACUAUCUGUCUUGAAUAUUGUGGAGGUAAGCGGAAUAUGUCAUGUAGCGGUGAAAUGCUUAGAUAUGACAUAGAACACCUAUUGCGAAGGCAGCUUACUACGCAUAUAUUGACGCUGAGGCACGAAAGCGUGGGGAUCAAACAGGAUUAGAAACCCCAGUAGUCC